rnacentral:tRNA from 1 species
GGCCUGAUGGUCUAGUAGUAUGAUUCCUUGUUAGGGCGCGUAAGCAACGUUUCGAGGAGGUCCUGGGUUCAAUUCCCAGUCAGGCCC